UGGUGGACCAAGCUGGAUGGUCCCAUUGGGAAGAAGAGAUUCAAGAAGUGCAAGCUUGAGCGGUUCGAACAACAACAUCCCUGCACCAAACAACACUUUCCAGACAAUCCUCAGCAAGUUUAAUCGUCAAGGACUUGAUGUCACCGACCUUGUCGCUCUCUCCGGUAAGCUUUCUUCAUUCUAUCACAGUUACUUUACAUGCACGGUACAAAUAAUAAAAUAAACCCUAUAACCUUAAUUUGUUUAUCAGGGAGUCACACUAUUGGAUUCUCGAGAUGCACAAGUUUCAGACAGAGACUAUACAAUCAGUCCGGAAACGGUCGUCCAGACAUGACAUUGGAACAAUCAUUCGCUGCUAACUUGCGACAAAGGUGUCCAAGAUCUGGAGGGGACCAGAAUCUCUCGGUGUUGGACAUCGUCAGUGCGGCGAAAUUCGACAACAGCUAUUUCAAGAACUUGAUAGAGAACAUGGGUUUGUUGAACUCGGACCAGGUUCUGUUCAGCAGUAAUGAUAAAUCGAGAGAUCUUGUAAAGAAGUAUGCAGAGGAUCAAGAAGAGUUUUUCGAGCAGUUUGCCGAGUCGAUGAUCAAGAUGGGAAAUAUCUCUCCCUUGACCGGUUCGAGUGGUGAAAUCAGAAAGGAUUGCAGGAAGAUAAACUCUUGAAUUCAUGAUAUGAGUAAAAUGUUUCAAUAAAUGUGUGACAACUGUUUAUUUGCGCUUUUGUUCUUCCUUAUGUCGUGUGAAGUUUCAAGGUGUGCUUUUUUUUUUCCUUUUUUUUUCAAUGUGUGCUUGCUAUUUUGGUUUUGUAUUAAGAUAAGAUAACAAUUAUUAAGAAAUAUUUUCUAAAUUUGAGUUAAAAUAUUAGAGCAUCUUUAUUUGGAAGAUAUGUUUUUGUAGGUUUAUGUCUCUUAUUGGAGUUAAAAGAUGCUUCGUUUUUGUAUUAGAACUUAACAACUCACAGAAAUUAUAUAAAAAAAUUAUGCUAUUUGGUAGAGUGAUGAACCGAAUUGAUUACUUACUUAGUCGGUUAUGUCCUGGAAAAUUGGUUUGAUAGAACAUAAAAAAUCGGUUUAUUUAGAUCAACCCAAGUACGAGAGAAGGACCUUCCGAGCUAGCUAGAGGGUUUGACGAUUAACUGAAAGCGAUAUUAUCCGUCGUGAUCUUCAAUCGGAAUCUGCCGGCGAUAUCCAAAUUCGGCGUAAUCCAAUCCGAACCCCGAAUCGGAGACGACGACGACGACGACGAUACAGUACUAAACUAUGCAGAUACUGAGGUGCCCACACAGUUUCAUUCAGCUUCUGCUCAUCUCCGGUAAAAUGCCAAUUAAGUGAUUUUCUCCCUCUUACGAAUUUGAGAGCUUAUGAAAAUUUAUUUGCAGCUUUGGUGAUUGGAUUUGAGGGGGCUGGGUCUGUACCCGUCCCGGAUUCGAACUGCUACGCUCUCGACAAUUCAAGCCGUCUUGUCGAUUUUGUAUCCUCUUUUUAUUAAUUUGUUUUGUAGCUUUGGAUCAGUUAAAGAGUAAAGGUGUUUGCUUUGAGUGUGUGUGUUGUGAAGAUGAUUUCUUUAACUUGGGUUGAUCAGAGUAGCUGGAUUGGUCAUCCGUUUGAAUAUGAUGGCAAGGUUUGUGUAUAUAUGCAUUCUCAGUUAAGAGUUUUGAGAAGUUUAGGUUUUGAUUUAAGUUAUCUUUUAUGGAUGUAGGAGUUUGAUUUGGUGGUUAGGUUUUGCAAGGAUGUUGAAACAAGAGGGCAAGCGGUAACACUCCUCAUAUUGUCAAACUUUUGUUCAGCUCUAGAUGAUUCAAUAAAAUCACUUUUGAUUUGUGUGCAGGGUUAUGUUGAUUUUGGACGAUUUGACCCGUUGAGCUACUUUGUUUCUAGCUCUGAAAAGUUUGAUUUUGUUCAAGUAAGGACCUCCUCUUUCUCUCAUAGUUUUUUUAACAUCAUAACCAGUUGUUGCAUUGAGUAGAAAUGUGUUUUAUUCUGGACAUAGAUUUGAUUUUCUGUGUUUGUUUCAUGAUUUGUGAUAUACAAUGUAGGGGUUUUACCACGGAGACCUGUCGAAUUGUGAGCAGAGUUAUGACAAACUUGGACGUACAGCACAGGUUACAUAUCUGCACAUGAUUUGUAUUGUUGAAAAAAUGUAAUGUCUCUUUUCUUAGGUCUGGUGUCUAUGUUUUGUUCAGGUCAAUAUUAUUUGUGGGAACUGUGUUGAUGGACGCUGUAAAGGUAUGUCUGAAUCUUCCUUUUUUUUUUCAUUUUCAUUACAGAUGUUUAAACGUCAAAAAUGCUUCUCAAUUCUUGAAGAUCUAUUUAGGUUUUCAUUCUUUCUUUUCCUUACUUCAGGUGGACUUGGAUGCAUAUGUAGUGUCACUCAAGAUUCAACUUGCAGGUCAGUGUCUGCAACUGUCUAUCUCUCAUUAUACAAGAAUAAUCGUGCAUCGAUCUUUUUUUUAAAUGUAUUUUCCUGCUCUUUUUCCACUGGUCUAGAGUUACUGUCGAGUUGGCUAUUCCAUGUGAGAAACCUGGCCCUCGUGUCUUCAAGGGUUUCACGGUCGGUUUGCAUCCUCGCUCAUGGGAACUUGUAAGAACAGAACAAACACUAAAUUUCUGAUAACAGCCUUUUUCACACUGAACAAAAACUUAAAAGUGGAUUUGGUUUUGGAACCUGCAGAUUUAUAAUGGGAUGACACAGUUUGGAUUUGACAAGCCCCGUCGUGAGUUUAGGUAUGGAAUCAAGAACCUAGUUCUGUUCAUGUUUGAGUCCCUAUGUAUUUACUAUAUGAAGUGUUCCUGAUUUUGGCAGCUUCAAGACCGAGCAGACUCAUCUUACACUCUACAUGACUGCAAUUGCUUCUCUUUCAACAUUGGUAGGGAAGCCUAUCGUCAAGGUCUCCCCGGAGAAUGGUCUUGCCGUUAAGAUAUCUGGUUCUUCCUUGACUGGGAAUCAUCCAACAACUUUAUCUCCUUCAACUUUAGUACUGGACUGGAACUGUAAUAACCUCAUUUCUUGAUGCCUUUGACCUUUGCUUUUACAAAUUCUAUAACCUCUUUCUUUUUCAAAGGUGAGAAAUCUCGUAAGACUCCGUAUGAAGUCAAUGUCACCAUCCCGGUGGAUGGUUAUGAUCCUGUUCAGUUUUUCCUCACAAAACUCUGUGGUGAGCUUAUCAUCUACAUGGAUUCUCUAUAGCUUGCUCUGUCUCUCUCUGAUACAAUACUUUUGUUUUUUUCUUCAGAAUACAACCAAGGUGCUGAAGGAGGAUCAGCGAAAGGAUGGGCUAUAUUUGGAGUUUUCUCCUGCGUGUACUAUAAUAAUCUCUUUCUCAGAAUCACAAAUGCUUUGUAACUGGAGAACAAGCUUCAACUAAUUGUGUUCUUGUGUGUUGCUUCUGAUCAGAUCCCUCGUUGCAUUUACACUUUUCUGCUGUGGAGGAUUUGUCUACAAAACAAGAGUAGAACGCGUGGUAUCAUUCUUGAUUCUCUAAUUCUUCACGCACGCUAUAUUAUGUACACACAGUAGCACCGAUACUGAUAUGUUCCAUAUGGGCGCAGCGUGGGAUUGAUGCAUUGCCAGGCAUGUCACUUCUAUCAGGCUUACUAGAAACUGUAAGCAUUUCCAAAAAUGGACUCAAAAGUAUUCAUUUAUGAUGAAUCAAUUAGAUAGCUCACUGUAUGAAUCCUCACAAGAGACAAUUUAUACGUAAUGUAAUGGAUAUGGUCUUUGUAUACAGGCGAGUGGAGGUGGACAAAGCUACUCAAGAACUGAAGAGAUCAACAAUGCUUUUGCCAAUGAAGUCUCAUGGGACCGCUCUUCCACGUCUUCUACUCAAGCACCAACGCAGAGACCAAGUGAAAGAACAUAUGGUGCUAUCUAACUUGCUUAUUGCCUUUGCUAGUGGUUCUGUCUCAGUCAAUGGUAUGGUAUGCAGUUGAACUGUGUUUUUUACUUUAAUGUUUGGUUUCUAGAAUGAGGGAAAACAAAUUGUGAAAGAGUCAAAAAAGUUGAAAGCUUCACUCACCUUGAGAUUGCUUUUACCUGCAGAUUCAUGUGUUGUGGUAGAUGACGACAAACAAAGUUUCCUUUCUUUGCUUUGGUUACAAAGAUCAAGAGCGUGUUCACAAGUCAAUAAAGAUUGACACUUUUUUGUUGUCAAAGGAGUAGUUAGAAUCUCUUCCUACUCUCUUCUCUUUCUCACUACAUAAAAGUCUUGGCCUCUGUCUCUUCGAACAUAGUUUUAUGUAUAAGUGUAUUACCAAGUCAUUUGCAAAAGUAAAAAUAUUAUUUCUUUUCGACUCUUUUUUUCAGAUUAGUUAAAUCUAGGUAUUGUAUUAGUAUAUUAUUUAUUCUGUUCAUACUUGAUUUCUUGACCUUUUAUUUUACUUUUACAACAAGAUAAAUCAGUAAAACUUAGUCUCUUAGCUUUUUUUAUUUUUAAGAACCGGUUUUUAGUUUUUUUUAGUUAAAAGUUAAGAGAAUGUUUUUAUAUUCCGCUAAGAAUCUCAUCGUAAAAAUUCUCCAUUAAUCAUGCUCUUAACUGCUUCCAAGACAUCAAAACUCAAUAAUCCACGACUGAAGUGAAAGGAUGAAACCAUUUAUGAGCAAGACCGAUUUUAAGAUUUUAAAAGUUAUAAACAAUGUAAGCCCUUAGUCAAAAAAAAAAGUUAUAAACAAUGUAAUAAAAAUUAUUAUCAUUUUAUUUUAACUAUUGGAAGGCUUUAAAAUUUUGAGCUAAUGUUUUAUUUGUCUAUGUUAAGAAUAAUUCUGUCCAUGCGAUUAUGAUCUCGAAGGCAUACAUUCUUUAUGUUAUAGACCAGCAUUUUUGUGUGUAUACAAUUCGAACAUUUAAUCAUAGAAAGAAAGAAAGAAAGAAAGAGUUAAUAAUUCUCAAAUUAUUGGUACUAGUCGUUAACAUAUGGAUAAAGAUCAAUUUCAAUAUAUUUAAAACUCAAAACUUUGCUUUGCCUUUCCCCCUCCAAUGAAGUCAAAUCAAUUGUAAAUAAAUAACUAAACCAAAAAGGAGGUAAAUUAGUCAAAUUAAGCAGGCAAUGUUGGGUACCAAACACAAACUUUAGUCUCUUUUAAUCUUCUUUUCUCCAAUAUUUUUUUUACAUUUUAUUUUUCUAGCAGUUCCCUUGAUUAUUAUCUUAAUCUCUAUCUAGUUAGUUACCAACUCCACUUCUUACUUCUUAUUCAAAGUCUCUUCCUAUAAAUACCUUCUUCCUCUCCUCUUGCUUCAUAUCACUUCUCAUCACAAAGUCUUCUCUCCUUUCUUCAUCUUCUCGUCAAACAUAAUGGCAAGACUCAGCAGCUUUCUCUUUGUUCUUUCUCUCCUUUGCGUUCUCCCUAUUUACCUCUGCCAACAGAGCUAUGGAGGCAAACUAAACCCUGGUUACUACGCACAUUCAUGCCCGCAAGCCGGAGAGAUCGUGAGAUCAGUUGUAGCUCAAGCUGUUGCUAGAGAGACACGUAUGGCUGCUUCCUUGAUGAGACUUCAUUUCCACGACUGCUUCGUUCAGGUUUGGUUAACUUCUUCUGUACGUUCCAUCAUUUUUUGUUUGUUACGUACUGAGCAAGGUAACUGUGAAAUGCAGGGUUGUGAUGGCUCCUUGCUUCUAGACAGCAGUGGGAGGAUAGUGAGUGAGAAAAGCUCCAACCCUAACAGCAAAUCAGCUCGUGGAUUUGAAGUAGUUGACCAGAUCAAAGCUCAACUUGAGAAACAAUGCCCUGGAACUGUCUCUUGUGCUGAUAUUCUAACCCUAGCCGCUAGAGACUCCUCUGUUCUUGUAAGUCUUCUCUACAAUGUUUGUUAAAAAAAUUUGAAAAAAGAGCUGAUUCGGUUUGGUUUGGUUUGGUUUAGACUGGUGGACCAAGCUGGAUGGUCCCAUUGGGAAGAAGAGAUUCAAGAAGUGCAAGCUUGAGCGGUUCGAACAACAACAUCCCUGCACCAAACAACACUUUCCAGACAAUCCUCAGCAAGUUUAAUCGUCAAGGACUUGAUGUCACCGACCUUGUCGCUCUCUCUGGUAAGCUUUCUUCAUGCUAUCACAGCUACUUUACACGCACGGUACAAAUAAUAAAAUAAACCCUA
rnacentral:lncRNA from 1 species